CCUACGGGUGGCAGCAGUGGGGAAUAUUGCACAAUGGGGGAAACCCUGAUGCAGCGACGCCGCGUGAGUGAGGAAGUAUUUCGGUAUGUAAAGCUCUAUCAGCAGGGAAGAAAAUGACGGUACCUGACUAAGAAGCCCCGGCUAACUACGUGCCAGCAGCCGCGGUAAUACGUAGGGGGCAAGCGUUAUCCGGAUUUACUGGGUGUAAAGGGAGCGUAGACGGCUAAUCAAGUCAGAAGUGAAAACCCAGGGCUCAACCUUGGGACUGCUUUUGAAACUGAGUAGCUAGAGUGCUGGAGAGGUAAGCGGAAUUCCUAGUGUAGCGGUGAAAUGCGUAGAUAUUAGGAGGAACACCAGUGGCGAAGGCGGCUUACUGGACUGUAACUGACGUUGAGGCUCGAAAGCGUGGGGAGCAAACAGGAUUAGAUACCCGUGUAGUC
rnacentral:rRNA from 1 species